rnacentral:tRNA from 1 species
GGAGAUGUGUCCGAGUGGUUUAAGGAGCACGGUUGGAAACCGUGUAUAGGUGUAAGCUUAUCUAGAGUUCGAAUCUCUACAUCUCCGCCA